rnacentral:rRNA from 1 species
GUAGGGAAUAUUGCGCAAUGGACGAAAGUCUGACGCAGCGACGCCGCGUGAGUGAUGAAGGCCUUAGGGUCGUAAAGCUCUGUUGAAUGGGAAGAAAAAAAUGACGGUACCAUUCGAGGAAGGACCGGCUAACUUCGUGCCAGCAGCCGCGGUAAUACGAGGGGUCCUAGCGUUGUUCGGAAUCAUUGGGCGUAAAGGGUGUGUAGGUGGACAUGUAAGUCAGGUGUGAAAGCCCAGGGCUCAACCCGAGAAGUGCAAUUGAUACUGCGUGGCUUGAGUACCGAGGAGGGUAGUGGAAUUCCAGGUGGAGUGGUGAAAUACGUAGAUAUCUGGAGGAACACCGGUGGCGAAGGCGGCUACCUGGUCGAGGACUGACACUGAGACACGAAAGCAUGGGGAUCAAACAGGAUUAGAAACCCCGGUAGUCC